GACGUAGGGCGCGAGCGUUAAUCGGAAUUACUGGGCGUAAAGCGUGCGCAGGCGGUUUUGUAAGCCAGAUGUGAAAUCCCCGGGCUUAACCUGGGAAUGGCAUUUGGGACUGCAAGGCUUGAGUGCGGCAGAGGAGACUGGAAUUCCUGGUGUAGCAGUGAAAUGCGUAGAUAUCAGGAGGAAUACCGAUGGCGAAGGCAGGUCUCUGGGUCGAUACUGACGCUCAUGCACGAAAGCGUGGGGAGCAAACAGG
rnacentral:rRNA from 1 species